UUGAACAAAAGCUGAUGAGCAGCUUAAAGGCCUAGCUACCAUCUCGGGAAUGGGAGUAUCUAUCUUCUUAAAGAUAGAACAAAAUUCUUCAUUCUUCAUAGACUAUAACCAGUUCUGUCUCGCAAUCGAUGAACUUCACAAAUCAAUCGAAACGGAUCUCGACAUUCACCAAGCAUUCUACGAAUCUACCAUUCUCUUUGCCUCUCUUUUGUUCGAUAAGUUGCGCCACGCUCCACGUACAAUCUCUUUUGGUGUUGUUUUUACAACCUUUGCUUUUACCUCAACCCCAACCCCAAACGCAACCCAAGAAGCUUUGCCAAGACCUGUUGCCUGUUGGCUGGUGUAAGGAAGUGCAGAUGGCGCCUUAGACAUGACUUCAAUUAAAGUGCAAUAACAACUCUAUUACUAGCGAAUGGCUGUAUCAAUAAGAGUCUUCUUACAGUCGGACAGACGGGCAGGCAGUCGGCAGCUAGCCAGAUGACGUGAGAUAUGAAGAGCUCUAAAACAAUAAAAAUCUGAAAUCAAUUUCUAUAAAAGCAGCUCCAGCAGCAGUAGCAUCACAAUCGGCCGAGAAGAUGGAGAAGCAAUGAUGCGUAAACGUGUUGGGGCCGAAGAUGAUGGGGGUUGAUGGGAGGGGUGGGGGCCUCGGCUACCGGUUAAAGUCGAUUCAUGUUCCAAAAGGGGUCUCCAGUCCCGGUCUCUGUCCCUGUGUUCCUGUGGCGGGGCCGAACCAGGCUCACACCUUAAAUGGCGACUGGGACAAGUUGCAGCUUCAAGAGCCUGUGAUUAUCUGAGAAAGAAGCGAGAAAUAUUUAUGAACUGAUGGCCCCAGUCAUUGAUGAGGAUCCGAUGCUGUCCGGAGUGCUGAAUGGACUGCAAUGAUGCUAUCACCAGGCCAUCUAAGGGGAGUUUCUCUGUCUCUCUAGAUCUACCUCCAACUCCAUCUCCAUCUCCAUCUCUAGCUCGAACUCCAUCUCCAACUCCAGGUCCAUAGGCCACAAUGAGUUGAUGGAUAGUUGCGUAGCAGGAAGCACGCUCCAAGUAACUUAUGAAAAUGUAUAAAGAAAAAAAGUAGUAAUAAUAAGAAAGAAACAAAUCUUGGGACGGGGUUUCGGUGACCGAGCUCAACAGGUGUAAUAAUUGGAAUCUGUUUUCCAUCUGGCAUCUCCAUGGCGGCGUAGACCCUAAUCAUGGUGAGUGAGCGCGCGAGCCAAAAGAUACUAAAUUCUGCAGAUACUUUCCGGGCAGUCUUCCGACUUGCGGUUACGCUUCGUGGGCUGUGUCUAGGCAUUAAACCAACCAGCAGCUGUAAAAUUACAUCAAAUGUUUAACCAACCCCCAAGUGGGGGGAGCUCCAUCUACCCAACCUCCGAGACAAAUUUCUGGUAUAGACCGCACAGAAUUUUACUUUAUUUUGAGUGAUUACCAGAACCGUACCGAACCGCACUAUCCUUGCAGGAGACUCAGACAAGAGUCUGACGCUUUCCCACGCUCAGAGCCACUGCUCCUGACC
rnacentral:sRNA from 1 species